GUGGUGGUUUUUGAGGUUCUCUUCGGUGUCGUGGAGGUCCAAUCUCUUCCCAAUGUUGUUGAGUGAGCUCCGGAGGUUUCCACUUCCUCGGAGGCGAGUCUUGGAUCGAGUUACACAGGUGGAGAUGGUGUCUUGUCCUGUUUCCGACUUGUGAGAUUAUGCGGUGUUCUUGAAAGGUGUCGUCUAUGGCUCCUUGAUAUUUGCUCGACGUCUCUCAUCACUACAAAUAUGUUCUACUUGGUCAUGUUCUGGUACCUUAGAUUAACGGCGAUGGCCCUCUUUAUCGAAGUUGUUCUCAGUGUUCCCUUGUUCUGUCUCUGUUUGACACCGGAGACUAC
rnacentral:lncRNA from 1 species